CCUACGGGAGGCAGCAGUGGGGGAUAUUGCACAAUGGGCUUACGCCUGAACCAGCCAAGUCGCGUGAGGGAAGACUGCCCUAUGGGUUGUAAACCUCUUUUGUCAGGGAGCAACGCCGGCUACGUGUAGCCGGACUGAGAGAACUUGAAGAAAAAGCUUCGGCUAACUCCGUGCCAGCAGCCGCGGUAUUACGGAGGAUGCGAGCGUGAGCCGGAUUUAUUGGGUUUAAAGGGUGCGUAGGCGGAAUGCCAAGUCAGCGGUAAAAUCGCGGGGCUCAACCUCGCCCCGCCGUUGAAACUGUCGUUCUUGAGUGGGCGAGAAGUAUGCGGAAUGCGUGGUGUAGCGGUGAAAUGCAUAGAUAUCACGCAGAACUCCGAUUGCGAAGGCAGCAUACCGGCGCCCAACUGACGCUGAAGCACGAAAGCGUGGGUAUCGAACAGGAUUAGAUACCCGGGUAGUC
rnacentral:rRNA from 1 species